GAACACCUACUGCAAAGCCUCUCCAACUAGCCACAGCUGACCACACAUAGUACAUGCGUAUAACUUGAGCCAGCCAGCCAAAGCAACGAUUAUGGCGUCCAUGGCGAGAGCUGCCCGCCUCCUGCUGGUCGCGCUGCUGGUCAUCUCCGCGGCGGUCACCGGCUGCCAUGGCUACAGCAUCGGUUAGUAUGCCAUGGCACCUUCGUUCUUCUUGUCAUAGUGACGAUCUUCUGGAUUCCGUUACCGGUUCCGAGUAAAUUACUAACCGUGGAUGCGUUUCCUUUCCAGGUGGACCGGGGUUAAUCCCCGAACCACGGAGCGGGCAUGGAAGACCCUUUGAUCCUUUAUACCCACGUCCAUGCCGCGGACUGAGAUGCCGGACGCUGCCGCCACGCGGCCGCGGUGGCGCACCCUACCCCUAUGGCGGUCCUCCUCCCCCUCCCCCUCCCCCGGACAACGGAGGACAGCCUUGAUGCUUGGCAUGCAUGCAAGAAAGCUACGACCUCUCACCGAACUGAUACUAAUACAUGGAAUAAGACUAAAGUUUGGUGUUUUCCCUAAUACGUGUCAUGUAUACAUGGAACAAGAAAGCUAUUACAUGGAAUAAGACUUGAGAGUGGUUUUUCUAGCGGUACGGUUUCUACCGGGUAUUCACACACCACACAAUCGUGGUCCGAGAUUAUGGUCAACAUAGUGAUAGUGCAUUAUACGUAUUUCGAUGGGCAGUACAUAAUCUCAACCCAUGUGUACAUCUGUACAUGUACGAAACAGUAGUAAUACCAUGUGGGGCUCAUGUGUGAGCCAUGCUUCACCCAUAUCUCCGCUGGGCGCUGGCUGUCCUGUCCUGUGACCUAAAUCGAUAUAUGCGGCCGUCCUCUACGCUUGUGAUUCAGAUUUCUCUGUCGACCUGGUUACAUUUGAACUACAAAUCCGUCCGCGUACUACGAAUUUUCAAAUGGAAGUUCGGUCCUCUUCUUUUUUUCUCAAGGUAAUCUCUCCUCGUAGAUAGUAUUGAAUUUAAUUGUUUUUAUCUGCGGGGAACUUUUCCAGCUACAGAUCUGUUCUGUAUUGCUAGCAGAAAUUGCGCGGAAGUUGUGUUCUUCCAUUAUGAAAGCGAUUUGCUUUCAGAUGUUCUACAAUGUUUG
rnacentral:lncRNA from 1 species